rnacentral:rRNA from 1 species
UACGUAGGGUCCGAGCGUUGUCCGGAAUUAUUGGGCGUAAAGGGCUCGUAGGCGGUUUGUCGCGUCGGGAGUGAAAACACCGGGCUUAACUCGGUGCUUGCUUUCGAUACGGGCAGACUAGAGGCAUGCAGGGGAGAACGGAAUUCCUGGUGUAGCGGUGAAAUGCGCAGAUAUCAGGAGGAACACCGGUGGCGAAGGCGGUUCUCUGGGCAUUACCUGACGCUGAGGAGCGAAAGUGUGGGGAGCGAACAGG